ensembl:lncRNA
GCAGAUGCUUCUUGCCAGACCUGAGCUGGCACCUUGGCCACCUAAGGACACAGCUUCCCCUCCCCACCAUGGCCCAGCCAAGCCAAAGGGUUCACCAGCUUUUCAGUGCAUCAGCCACAUGAUCCCUGCACACAGCAACCUUCACAGGAGGAAUUAGAAACAUCAGGAGUAGCUCCAUCCCAGGCUAUGGGAGGCAGCCCUUAGGAUGAGGAUGCUGGGGCCCAGGACAAGCCCAGGAUAAGAGCAGAGGACACAGUGCCUCUGUCUGGGGACACUGGGUGCUGCCCUGGCAGCAUGGCAUGGCCUCUGCUUGUCCCCAGGGCAUGGCCACAUUCCAUCCACCACCCAUCCUGGCUCCCAGCAGGUCUCUCUGCUGCCCUGGCUCAGCAUAGGAGGACAGAGCCAGUAACAAGUGGGGUUUGAGGAAGAGGAGCUUGCUUGCAGGAGCCCCCCAUCCCUGAUAGGUUUGGAGACAUCACCCCUUAGUGCUGGGAGCAGGGCCAGUGGGAGCACUCAGGGAACCCAAAUGAAUUUACUGGUCCCAGUCCCAGGGCAGGAGGGGGGCUGGAGCCUGGUGCAGCCCAGCAGGGGAAAGGCAGCUCAAAAGGCUUCAGCACCAGCUGUCCCUGGACAUCGCUGGCUCUCAAACAAAGCCCCCACAGCUUUGGCUGGCAGAGGCACCACGGGCCCUUGGGGCUGGCACAACCAGGAUCCCUGUCAGCACUUUCCCUUCUCUUUACUGGGCUCCACAGCUCAUCUUCCACGCACAGGGAGAUUCCGGCCAAACGGGGAUCUCUGUGAAUCCUCACCUCCCUGCGCCCACACCCGGACCCGCCGCUCUCGCACCCCCUCGGCUCCUGCCCGGCAGCAGCGAGCGCAGCCCCGGCCCGGCCAGCGCAGCCGCCGGGCACAGAAGGUGGGAGAGCAGCCACCGAGAGCUGGGCAGGGUCAGUGCCCCUGUUCCUCCCAGGCCGCUCUGCUGCAGCAGCCGGGACAGCCGGGGUGACAAGUGACCCGCAGUGCUGCCCGUGGGGCGCUGGCAGCAGCCGGGACAGCCGGGGUGACAAGUGACCCGCAGUGCUGCCCGUGGGGCGCUGGCAGCAGCCGGGACAGCCGGGGUGACAAGUGACCCGCAGUGCUGCCCGUGGGGCGCUGGCAGCAGCCGGGGUGACAAGUGACCCGCAGUGCUGCCCGUGGGGCGCUGGCAGCAGCCGGGGCUCCCGGCCCGAGCUCCGAGCGCGGCUGGAGCAGCUGGUGCUGAGCUCCCCGAGCCCGGCCGUGCACAGGGACAGUUCCAUCCCAGCCCGGGGCAUUCCCCCGGCAGGAGCCACGGGCAGCUUUCCUCAGCCCAGGCCCUCCCGCUCCUGCCCAGCCUGCCCACGGGGCUGGGGGUGCUGCAUGGCCAGUCCUGGGCAGGCACCGGAGCAGGCAGCUCCGUCCUCCUUCCAGCCCAGCUCCCUCACCCUGCUCGGGCUGCGCCCCGAGCCCCCAGGCCACCCCACAUACACAGGGCCUGUCUCCUAGAGAUGCCAGGGCACAAAAGGCCAAACUCUUGCCAGAACACCCAGCUCCUUCCUUAGAGAGCAGCCUUACUUCCAUCCCAAGCUCUUCCUAACACCUGAACAUCUCUGGGAACAGACUCCUCCUUUCAAACCCAGCAAGAGCCCGAGGCAGUGCCCAUGACCGCACCGCACUUCUAGGUAAGGAAGGAAUUAACAUAUUAUUGCUUGUCCCUGCAGGGGUCAUCAAAGCAGCAUGGAAAUCCAGGUAUCUGCCCAGGGAACAGGCGCAAUAAACUAUUUCCUGCUCUGGGUUACUUUUUGUAGGAAAAAAAGGUCCCCAAGGUUUGUGUUUUCUAUCCUUAGUUGCAAUGGAGGAAUCUUGACAUAUUUUAACGGCAGGAAAAUUAAUCUUUGGGCCUCACUUUACACCUUUGCUUUUCCAGGUGUUUUAUGGCCUGGCUCCUUCAUCACCAUCCUCUUCAUCCCAGGAAGGAAGGAAUUUUAAAUUAAAUCCUCAUAGGAAGUUCUGCAGGUCUGAAUUGUACCGGUCCCACCAGCUUCGUGGUCUGGUCCCUGGAGCUCCCACAGAUGAGUGUGUGGCACUCUCAACUAUGCAUGAAAAGCUGAUGCUCUGUUCUACAACUGCUCUGUCACACACAUAAUGGCCCCAAAAGGUAAGGGUGGCCAGUCCUCCUUUCUCCAGCAGCACUGGACUUGAAGCUCUCCUACAAUGGGAGUUGACCUUUGUUGACCUGCUGAUGGAUCCAUUUAUUUAUUUAUUAUUUUUUGAGUUUUUUUCAUGUAAUUGUGCUGCUUCAGGGGAGUUCAUGGCUCAAGGUGUCAAUGGGGAGUGUUUGCUCAAGCAGGAACUGCAGGUCAGGCUCCUGCCGAGGCUCCCAAGCUCCCUGUUUGGUUCUGCUGGCAUUGAGGCUGUCAGUAAACCACAUUCCCAUCCCUUCUUGUCUUCAGGACUCGAGGGUAUCCAGGGCUUGGACAUUGACCAAGUCACUGUCAUCUUUUCCAAGACCAACUGAGCCCCACUGAAUGAUUUUGUCAUUGUUUAUGGUUAAUUAAACCAUCAGCC